rnacentral:rRNA from 1 species
UACGUAGGGUGCGAGCGUUGUCCGGAAUUAUUGGGCGUAAAGAGCUUGUAGGCGGUUUGUCGCGUCUGCUGUGAAAAUCCGGGGCUCAACCCCGGACUUGCAGUGGGGUACGGGCAGACUAGAGUGUGGUAGGGGGAGACUGGAAUUCCUGGUGUAGCGGUGAAAUGCGCAGAUAUCAGGAGGAACACCGAUGGCGAAGGCAGGUCUCUGGGCCACUACUGACGCUGAGAAGCGAAAGCAUGGGGGAGCGAACAGG